AUUGAACGCUGGCGGCAGGCUUAACACAUGCAAGUCGAGCGAGCGGAGGACGGGUGAGUAAUGUCUGGGAAACUGCCUGAUGGAGGGGGAUAACUACUGGAAACGGUAGCUAAUACCGCAUACCAUCAGAUGAACCCAUAUGGGAUUAGCUUGUAGGUUAUGGAACGGCUCACCUAGGCGACGAUCCCUAGCUGGUCUGAGAGGAUGAUCAGCCACACUGGGACUGAGACACGGCCCAGACUCCGACGGGAGGCAGCAGUGGGGAAUAUUGCACAAUGGGCGCAAGCCUGAUGCAGCCAUGCCGCGUGUAUGAAGAAGGCCUUCGGGUUGUAAAGUACUUUCAGUCGGGAGGCGUUACCGACAGAAGAAGCACCGGCUAACUCCGUGCCAGCCGCCGCGGUAAUAC
rnacentral:rRNA from 1 species